rnacentral:rRNA from 1 species
GAUGAACGCUGGCGGCGUGCUUAACACAUGCAAGUCGAACGAAGCAGCUGAGAUAGAUGGGUGGAGAAGUGGCGAACGGAUGAGUAAGUGGCGAGUAGGUUGGUAACAACUGUGGGAUAAGCCUGGGAAAGUGGGAUUACUACCGGAAAGGAGUGUUAACCGCGCGGAAGGGGACAGAGAGACUUAACGGUGUGGGAUAAACUCGCGCCCUAUCAGAUUGUUGGUGGGGUAAUGGCCUACCAAGGCGACGACGAGUAGCCGGCCCGAGAGGGUGACGGGCCACACUGGGACUGAGACACGGCCCAGACUCCUACUGGAAGCAGCAGUGGGGAAUAUUGCACAAUGGGCGCAAGCCAAAUGCAGCGACGCCGCGUGAGGGGUGACGGCCUUCGAGUUGUAAACCUCUUUCAGUAGGGAAGAAGCGAAAGUGACGGUACCUGCAGAAGAAGCACCGGCUAACUACGUG